rnacentral:lncRNA from 14 species
CCACUGUUCACACCUUUCAUCAAAUGUCUGUGGGUUCCUUAAAGGAGGUUCUCAAACAACUAGUAGAAGAGAAGAAAAGUCUCCAGAAUCAGCUAAAAGACAAAGAAGUUAGACUGGAAAAAGAAGCAAAGGCUUACCACAAAGCUAACAAUGAGCGGCGCAUGUACCUCUCAGAGAUCUUACAGACCUCAGCCACACUUAAAAUUGUUGAAAGGCAAAAAGCAGAUGCUCUGACUGGC